AGCGAACGCUGGCGGCAGGCCUAACACAUGCAAGUCGAACGAACCUUUCGGGGUUAGUGGCGGACGGGUGAGUAACACGUGGGAACGUGCCUUUAGGUUCGGAAUAACUCAGGGAAACUUGUGCUAAUACCGAAUGUGCCCUUCGGGGGAAAGAUUAAUCGCCUUUAGAGCGGCCCGCGUCUGAUUAGCUAGUUGGUUGAGGUAAUGGCUCACCAAGGCGACGAUCAGUAGCUGGUCUGAGAGGAUGAUCAGCCACAUUGGGACUGAGACCCGGCCCAAACUCCUACGGGAAGCAGCAGUGGGGAAUCUUGCGCAAUGGGCGAAAGCCUGACGCAGCCAUGCCGCGUGAAUGAUGAAGGUCUUAGGAUUGUAAAAUUCUUUCACCGGGGACGAUAAUGACGGUACCCGGAGAAGAAGCCCCGGCUAACUUCGUG
rnacentral:rRNA from 1 species